rnacentral:rRNA from 1 species
GAUGAACGCUGGCGGCGUGCCUAACACAUGCAAGUCGAGCGAACAGACGAGGAGUUUGCUCCUCUGACGUUAGCGGCGGACGGGUGAGUAACACGUGGAUAACCUACCUAUAAGACUGGGAUAACUUCGGGAAACCGGCUCUAAUACCGGAUAAUAUAUUGAACCGCAUGGUUCAAUAGCGAAAGACGGUUUUGCUGUCACUUAUAGAUGGAUCCGCGCUGCAUUAGCUAGUUGGUACGGUAACGGCUUACCACGGCAACGAUGCGUAGCCGACCUGAGAGGGUGAUAGGCCACACUGGAACGGAGACACGGUCCAGACUCCUACGGGAGGCAGCAGUAGGGAAUCUUCCGCAAUGGGCGAAAGCCUGACGGAGCAACGCCGCGUGAGUGAUGAAGGUCUUCGGAGCGUAAAACUCUGUUAUUAGGGAAGAACAAAUGUGUAAGUAACUAUGCACGGCUUGACGGUACCUAAUCAAAAAGCCACGGCUAACUACGUG